CAGCCGCCGCGGUAAUACCAGCGCCACGAGUGGCAACCGCAUUUAUUGGGCCUAAAGCGUCCGUAGCCGGUUUGAUAAAUCUUUUGUGAAAUCAUGGGGCUUAACUCCAUGUCGUGCAGGAGACACUAUCAGACUUGGGACCGGGAGGAGUCUGAGGUAUUCUGGGGGGAGCGGUAAAAUGUUAUAAUCCCCGGAGGACCACCUGUGGCGAAGGCGUCAGACUAGAACGGAUUCGACGGUGAGGGACGAAAGCUGGGGGAGCAAACCGGAUUAGAUAUCAAAAAUUCUCUGAAUUUUUGGAAUCUAUUAAGAAAUUCUCAUUUGUUUGUUAACAAAUUACUAAAUGAGGAAGGAAGAAUAGAUGUCUAUGAGAAUUUUUGACUAGAUACCCGAGUAGUCCCAGCUGUAAACGCUGCGAGCUAGGUGUUGCAUAUUCUUCGUGAGUAUGCAGUGUCGAAGCGAAGGUGUUAAGCUCGCCGCCUGGGAAGUACGGUCGCAAGACUGAAACUUAAAGGAAUUGGCGGGGGAGCACAACAAGGGGUGCCGCGUGCGGUUUAAUCUAACUCAACGCAGAAAAUCUCACCAGGAGCGACGGUAGGAUGAAAGUCAGGCUGAAGACCUUACUUGACAAACCGAGAGGUAGUGCAUGGCCGUCGUCAGCUCGUGCUGUAAAGUGUCCUGUUAAGUCAGGCAACGAGCGAGACCUGCGCCUACAAUUGCCAGCGACUGCUUGCAGGAUUGGGCACAUUGUAGGGACUGCCCUGGAAACAGGGAGGAAGGUGCAGGCUACGGUAGGUCUGUAUGCUCCGAAUCUUCUGGGCUACACGCGCGCAACAAUGGUAAGGACAAUGGGAUGCCACUCCGAAAGGAGAAGCUAAGCCUCUAAACCUUAUCCAAGUCCAGAUUGAGGGCUGCAACUCGCCCUCAUGACGAUGGAAUCCCUAGUAAUCGGAAUUCAAUAUGUUCCGGUGAAUAUGUCCCUGCUCCUUGCACACACCGCCCGUCAAACCAACCGAGCAGGGUUUAGAUGAGCCUUGGUUUUUUGAUCAAGUCAAAUCUAAGCUCAGUGAGGUGGGUUAAGUCGUAACAAGGUAGCCGUA
rnacentral:rRNA from 1 species